AACGAACGCUGGCGGCAUGCCUAACACAUGCAAGUCGAACGAGACCUUCGGGUCUAGUGGCGCACGGGUGCGUAACGCGUGGGAACCUGCCCUUAGGUUCGGAAUAACUCCCCGAAAGGGGUGCUAAUACCGGAUAAUGUCUUCGGACCAAAGAUUUAUCGCCUUUGGAUGGGCCCGCGUUGGAUUAGCUAGUUGGUAGGGUAAAAGCCUACCAAGGCGACGAUCCAUAGCUGGUCUGAGAGGAUGAUCAGCCACACUGGGACUGAGACACGGCCCAGACUCCUACGGGAGGCAGCAGUGGGGAAUAUUGGACAAUGGGCGAAAGCCUGAUCCAGCAAUGCCGCGUGAGUGAUGAAGGCCUUAGGGUUGUAAAGCUCUUUUACCCGGGAUGAUAAAGACAGUACCGGGAGAAUAAGCUCCGGCUAACUCCGUG
rnacentral:rRNA from 1 species